ACGAACGCUGGCGGCGUGCUUAACACAUGCAAGUCGAACGGAAAGGCCCUGCUUUUGUGGGGUGCUCGAGUGGCGAACGAGUGAGUAACACGUGAGUAACCUGCCCUUGACUUUGGGAUAACUUCAGGAAACUGGGGCUAAUACCGGAUAGGAGCUCCUGCUGCAUGGUGGGGGUUGGAAAGUUUCGGCGGUUGGGGAUGGACUCGCGGCUUAUCAGCUUGUUGGUGGGGUAGUGGCUUACCAAGGCUUUGACGGGUAGCCGGCCUGAGAGGGUGACCGGCCACAUUGGGACUGAGAUACGGCCCAGACUCCUACGGGAGGCAGCAGUGGGGAAUAUUGCACAAUGGGCGGAAGCCUGAUGCAGCAACGCCGCGUGCGGGAUGACGGCCUUCGGGUUGUAAACCGCUUUCGCCUGUGACGAAGCGUGAGUGACGGUAAUGGGUAAAGAAGCACCGGCUAACUACGUG
rnacentral:rRNA from 1 species